UACGUAGGGUGCGAGCGUUGUCCGGAAUUAUUGGGCGUAAAGAGCUCGUAGGCGGUUUGUUGCGUCGGCCGUGAAAACCUGCAGCUUAACUGUGGGCCUGCGGCCGAUACGGGCAGACUUGAGUUCGGUAGGGGAGACUGGAAUUCCUGGUGUAGCGGUGAAAUGCGCAGAUAUCAGGAGGAACACCGGUGGCGAAGGCGGGUCUCUGGGCCGAUACUGACGCUGAGGAGCGAAAG
rnacentral:rRNA from 1 species